AGUGCACAAAAUACAACAAUAGGGACAUAAGUGAAGUAAAAUGGCUGCAAUUGGGAAUCGAAACUAAAUUGCAGGCUCGUUUGCCCGGAAAUCACGUUGACCAUUCCUAAGAUGGCGGCAAUUUGAACGUGUUUUUCUCAAGAUAAGAAAAUGUCAUGUCACAAAUCAAAAACAUUGAUGGCAAGUUCUGAUGAGGACAUUGAUAUUGAAGAUGAUUCAUCUCCUAAAGAAUCUGACUCAAAAAAAAUUAGUAUGCUGCAAAAAGGUUGCCAUAGUGCAAAAGACUGGCAACGAUGUGGGGAUGAUUUUGCUCACUUGACUACUUUUAAACACAAAAGAAAAAAGAAAAGAGCACAGAAUGUUUCUUUGGUUUCUGAACAUAAAGAUUUCGAAGAAAGUAUAGAAUUAAGUCAAGAGGAUAUAAUAUGGAGUUCCAGUGAUGAAGAAUCAAAUUGUGAAUUAAUACCUUCAUCCAAACGUUUCACAAAAACAGAAGAAAAACUGCCAAAAUUGACUGCUGAAACAUCAUCUAACUUCUGCUGGCCCACUAAUAUUAAUGAUCACGCCAAUGUCAAACAUGAGAAAAUCAGAAAAAAUGUACAGAGGAACCUGAUUUCUAAUUUUGGUCUAAAGAAAGAAGAUUAUGAAAGUAGUAAAUUGCCCACUAAUGAAAUCUCAGUUACCAGUUUAGUAGACCAACAAAAGAAACAGAAAGAAGAAAGCCAUAUUAAAACUGUGUCAACAACUAAUACAAGCAAUUUGCAAUGCCAAAGUGGUGUCACUAUUGAAGAUUUUCCUUCAGAUGAAGAAAUCAGUUCCAUUGAAGAAUUAUCACCACCUCCUUCUAAAAAGAAAAAUACAACUAAUUCUGAUAUCUCUCCUGAAAUUGGAAUAUCUUCUUGGAGCUCAUCUACUCAAAAUUCCCAGGCUGAGAUACGCAAAAAGGCUAGUAAUUGGGUUGAAAUUAUAGAAGUAUCUACUCCUACGAAAAAUCAAGGAGAGGUUUCUGAACGCCCUAAGAUUCAACCAGAAAUAUCAGAGCAUGAUUCAGCAAAAAAGAAGCGUAAAUAUGUCAGUAAUGGUCUUGCAGCUAAAUUGUUACGUUUCCAAGCUCGAUCAAGAGUAGAUUCUAAUAUUAGGUACUACCAACAGAACAGCAAAUGGAGUGGUUGUUCUGAAAUGCUAACAGUAUCUAUAGAGAAAAUAACUCACCAGUAUGGUAUAGUUAAUGCCAUGUGUGUUCCAGGAACCUACUCUGAGAAAAAAGAGUGGAUACCAAACUCAAAUAACAGCCAUUGCACAGUAUUGUUUAGCUAUACUAAAGCAAAUGAUUUGAAACUCUCUGUUGGAUCGCUUGUCCAAAUAUAUCCACCUUGGCAGGAACUAAGUUUAAGAGCUGACUGUGGAAAAGUUUUGUUGUGUACUAACCACUGCCACAAACUUGAGGUACCAAUUGAAAGAACCAGCAUAGUUCAAACUGAUCCAAUCCAUGCUGACCAACAACAAGUUCACUGGGCUUUGACUUGGAAUUGCCCUUGUUCUUCAUCUGGUUCUUUGAAACAAUGUCCAGCAAAUGCAUGUCCCAGCCUAACUAAGUGUCCUACACUUUUUGCAUCUAAUUCUCAACCUCUGUCUACCAAAGAGAUACCUACUUCAGAGUCGACUUUAACUACAGUCACAAUACCUUCUAAGAGAAUACAUAUUGAUAGUAACAAUACAAUUUUGGAUAGCAUUCAGGGAAACCCAAAUCUUCCUCAAUAUGGCAUGUGUUUUCAGGCAACUAUAUUACGUGUGUUUUUGUUCAAAAACUAUGAAGAAUCCCUAGAUGAUGAUAGCCAACAAGAAAUUUUAACAUGUUGGUCUGUCUUAGUUGAAGAUACCCAAGGCACUGUAUCUUUGGUUCACCUACCAAGUAAGAAUAGUUUUGAUAAAGAAAAUCAAAUUGUCCCAGAUUACUAUGCUGUCAACUGUAUAUGGAAUUUUUAUGGUAUGCGUGUGCUUAGCCGUGCUAACCGACACAGAGAUCCAGAUCUUUUUUCAAUUAUUGAUACAACAUGGGUUUGUCCACAGAUUCCUACUGAAGCAGAAAAUGAAAUUGUAGUUUGUACAGUAAACCAGGAAACUCAAGUUACAUCUGUUGCUAAAAACACUCCAGGAUUUUGCUAUGAAAUUGGCCCACAGGAUACUUCAUUUACAAAGUCUGGCUACUUAUCUGCUCCAGUCACAGUACCCUGGACCAUGCCAAAACUUGAUUUAGUUACACUGAAAGAUUUUCAACAAAAGGUUAAUGAAUAUGUUGGUCAAAGAGUGACUUUUAUAGGAAAAUUGGUUUAUAAUUGGUCAAAGUGUGAGGCCGAUCAGAAUAGUUGUUCCAUUGAUAGCAGUGGAAUACUGUAUGUUACUGAUUCAAGUAUAAGCAGUGGUGUGCCAGGUUUCAACUAUAUUGCUAUUCAUUAUCGGAAGUCUUUCAUAUUACCUAGUCAGCUAUCUACUGUGGUACUUAUCAAGGAUGUACUAAUUCAACAAAGUAAAAAAUUUUGCAAUAGUAGACAGAUUCAGUCGAAUAUGGACUUGGCCUUUGCCUGAUCAUGUGACCCAACAACUCAGUACAAAUGUUAACAUUGAUAUUGCUGACAAAUAUCAGAGCAUAAAAUUGUCACUUCCAAAUUUAAAGAUUGAUUCAAAUGUUUACAAUUUGGUCAAAGUUCAAGGUGUGAUAUACAGUGUGGACCAAGAUAAAGCAGUUAUUUGGCAAACCUGCCCAAAAUGUGAUAAAGAAGAAUUGGCUCUCAAGAAAAAUAAUGAAGAAAG
rnacentral:misc_RNA from 1 species